ensembl:misc_RNA RNase_MRP RNase MRP
GUUCGUGCUGAAGGUCCGCUGCCUAGGCUACAGACAGAGGUCUCAGUUCCUUAUCUGCACCUAGGGGGAAGUCCCCAGACCAUGGGCAGAAAGUGCCAGGUGCACACACAAGCAGACUUCCCCUGCUUCUCAUUGCCAAUCUGCUAAGAAACGAGUGAGUACAGAAGCCAGGGGCAUGGUUAUGGAGAUGCAGACAAAAGGGGGUCGGGGGUUACCUGCUUUCAACUUGCCUUCUCAUUAUGGC